rnacentral:lncRNA from 1 species
AGGCCGGAAGCUGAGGCCGCGAGCCGGCCGCCGGCGCGCGCCCGCCCCGCCCCCGCCUCACGCGACCCGGGGACACGAGGGAGUCCGCGCGGGACCUGGGAAGACCGCCGCGUUCUUGGGAGGCCCUCCGCGCCCAGGCUGGGUCGACGACCCGGCCCCGCAAGCCGAGGGCCGCCCGCGCUCAUGGGGGGGCUCACUUACGAGAGCUAUGGUCGCCGUCGCCAUCUUGCGUCCGUCGCGGCCUCCGCGCGCGCCUCCCACUCUUGCUCCUUCCGCUGUCUCGCGCGAUCUGGGUGCCGGUGCACGGAACUCUCGCGAGGAAGGAGCUGGACAGCCCAGGAUCACCAGACACCUGAGAAAGAAGAAAAGGGACUCAGAAGAAACAGAGACGAUAAAGGAAGCCGAAGAAAAAUGAAAACUAAAAUGCCAUUCUCAGUCAAUAAAAAGGAACUGGGGGCUAUAGAGAAAGAAACCUCGGGAUGAGAAAGAGCUCUUAGAAAUAAAACAUGAGGGGAAAGUGAGCAAUUCAAUAGGCUUUUAAGAUGAAGUCUUCCAGAAUGUAUAAUGACAGAACCAGAUAGCUGGAAAACAGAAUAGCAGUAACACAGGUGGGUGCUCUUAGGGCUAGCCUGGCACACAAGGCCUCCACAAUGGAGGGGGUGGAUGGGAGGUGGGGGGCUGGUCUGCCACCACCACCAGGGGAAGCCACAGGCACCACCCUCUGGGGACAGCUUCCCUUGGCAAUAAUGUGCACGCAGGAUGCAUGGUGCCCAGGACUGUUCUUACACACAUUCAUUCAUGGGAUCCUCACAACCCAGUGCUAUGCAAUGGAUACAGCUGUUACCCCAUUUUUA